rnacentral:rRNA from 1 species
AGUGAACGCUGGCGGUAGGCCUAACACAUGCAAGUCGAACGGCAGCACAGUAAGAGCUUGCUCUUACGGGUGGCGAGUGGCGGACGGGUGAGGAAUACAUCGGAAUCUACUUUUUCGUGGGGGAUAACGGAGGGAAACUUACGCUAAUACCGCAUACGACCUACGGGUGAAAGCAGUGGAUCUUCGGACCUUUGGCGAUUGAAUUAGCCGAUGUCGGAUUAGCUAGUUGGCGUGGUAAAGGCCCACCAAGGCGACGAUCCGUAGCUGGUCUGAGAGGAUGAUCAGCCACACUGGAACUCAGACACGGUCCAGACUCCUACGGGAGGCAGCAGUGGGGAAUAUUGGACAAUGGGCGCAAGCCUGAUCCAGCAAUACCGCGUGGGUGAAGAAGGCCUUCGGGUUGUAAAGCCCUUUUGUUGGGAAAGAAAAGCAGCAGGUUAAUACCCCGCUGUUCUGACGGUACCCAAAGAAUAAGCACCGGCUAACUUCGUG